UUCCGCAGACAGUCUCAUGGUAAAUUACUAAAGCUUAGAGUUGGGAAACUCCGGUGAAAUUCCGGGACUGUGCCGCAGCUGUGAAGGGAAAUCCCAAGUCAGAAUGCCAACUCCGGGGUGUCUAAAAGA
rnacentral:ncRNA from 2 species